CUGAUUCUCUAUGAGCAAUGCCACCUCCUGAUGUCCUGGAUCAGGCCUAGGAGAAAGACCUUUCCUGCAUCAGAUUAAAGAAAUAAUAAAAAUGCACUGAAACCCACACAGACACAAGAACUGCUUCCUGUUUGUGUGACUGUUACGAUCAAGCACUGUUUCAUUAUUGCUAUGUUCCCCUUUUCAAGUCUACAAAAAUAAACUAAUUGGUCCUCUUGAGCAUCAGUGAAAUUACUGGAAAUUGUAGAUGUCCUACUCCAAUUUGUGAAAGAAAUGCCACAUGUAAGCACCAAUUCUAAGAUUUUGGUUAUGGUAUCUUGUGCAAGCUCCAGGGUUGAAGACCAUGGAAUUGCAUCUAGCAAAAGAGAGUUUUAUAGCAUAGGAACUACAGCACGACAUCCUUGUUCAACAUGGUUCAACCGCAGCCUGAACAGUGGUGCCACUGGGGGAAAAUAGCUCAGAUUCUCAUAAAACGUUUGCAAAAAAUGCUGAGAGAGCUGGAAAUGUUGCUGGUGAUAUGAAGUGGAGAGCAGAUAGAUUCCCUCAUCUAUUUCCCACAGCUGAUAAACAGUAAUGCCCUUCAGUCUCUCCCCAGCUGGCCCAGCUUCAGAUGAGUAGCGCAGUAAUGAAAGCCUCCAUAUCCUAUUAGCAGUUCUCAGCCCAUCCGUAGCUCGUUGGAGAGAUGCCUGCUCCAAGCUGAGAUGGAUGGCUUCCUCCGUAAUGAAAACAGAGUGAGGAGCAAGACUGCACAAGCAAGACCUGCUUCUGUCUCAUCCCUGUGCAGGAGGAACGAUACUUGCAGGGGGGAGUUUUGGCCCUCUGUCUCACAGCCAGCUCUGAGGACUGUCCUGAAGGCUACUCCUCACACCAAGCGUCUUACAAGAGUGAUUAAACUGCAUGACUUAGGCUAUGGCAUCCGGAAAACAAGCAAAUACACAAUGUGCCUGCAAUUCAAAUUUUGACAUCCAUGUAUACUGCCUGGAGCUGGCAUCUGCUACAAGAAACACUGUGGAGAAAAGGGCAAAAAAGUAGGUGUUGAAACGUCAUUAUUCUGCAACUUCUUGUGUAGUACCUGACCAAAUUCUUCGAGUAGCUGGUGACCUUAUGGAAAAAUACUAUAAUUCAGAGAAGGCACUACAUGCUAUGUUUGGUCAACACUGCUUACCCUCAGUGAAACUAAACACUUCCAAGGCCCAGAUGAUUGUGGACAUCAGGGGGCCAGCCCUACCUCUCAAUCAGACUGAAGGGCAUAGGAGAUUCUUACCCUCUCCUCUGCCCUGGUUUUCAUGUGAAUAAGUGCCCAGUAAAAAUGGUCUGGAAGGAAUUGGACGUACAAACUUCACCCAGCACCAUGGUCACUUUGAAAAGGCCAAAAUGAGCAUGCAGUCCCAGCAUUUCAACUAGAUGCAAACUUUGAAUUCACCUAGAAAGUCAGGAUCCCUAUUACUGCAUGAGUUGAAGGGUUUUCUCCUGUUCUAGCGUAUUUUCAAGUAGAAAUAGUCACACGUACAGUAAUGCCUAUGGUGACUUAAGGUCACUUAUGUUAGAAAGGGCGUGCAACUACUGAGUAACACUUGAAAGAAGUAGGAUCUAAAGAGAAGCCGAAGAGAGAUCAAAUCAGCACAUAGGCCUUACCUGUUUUCUGAGUUCAUGCUCUGCCUUUUGUCACAGAGAUAAGAAAUUUCUGCUUGUUCUACUGCCACCAGCUGCCAAUCCCCCGAGCUGCUAAUGGCCAACCCACCCAACCCACCUGCUCCAUGUUCCUUCUCACCAGCUAUCUGUACAAAACACCACUAGGAAAAUGAUGUUUUCUUGCUGCAGAAACCAACAAACCAGAAGUAAAGCAAGGCACAGCUGCUGCCUUGAGAAGCCUCAGCCUGAGCUCCAGGCUGAGCACUCAUCUUAGCCACAGGCUGCAGAGCAAAGCAGGAGCAACAAAAGUGAAUUGCUCAAGGGAGUGCAAAAGUUUGAACAUGAGGCAAAUGAAGCAUGAAAAACGAAGCAGUGAACCAAACAAUUAUUCACCACUACAAGAAAAUCCAUUAAAGAAAAACAAAGCCAUCUACAAUAGCGCAGCUGAGGGAGGUAGAGAUGAAAGCACGGAAAACAAUCCCCCCUGAAAAGCUGUCUUGAAAUUCUCAGAGUAAGGAAGAAAAACAGGAGAAGAACAGAGGAGGAGAAAGGAAUGGGGGAAGGUAAAAUAUCAAAAUGCAAAUUAGUAAGCUUCAUUAGAGAACUCAUUCCAAGACACGCAAGGAAAAGACUAAACAAGAGCUACUGCCUCUCUGGGCAUGGUGCCACCUCAUCACAAGCAAGGAGAGAAUCUCAGAUGACUGAGGUAGAAUACCAAAUGAACAUGGAAAUGGUAAAGUGAGUGGUGAAAAAAAGGGGUUUUCCCCUAUAAUUGUAUUCAAGACAUUGUACAUUCAUCACCACUGUGUAGUUCUGUGAUGGUUUCAUUAGCAAUAAAUGUAAUUGACAUCAGUUU
rnacentral:lncRNA from 1 species